CCUACGGGUGGCAGCAGUCGAGAAUCAUUCACAAUGGGCGAAACCCUGAUGGUGCGACGCCGCGUGAGGGAAUAAAGGUCUUCGGAUGGUAACCCCCUUUCAUGUGGGCGCAAAUUGUAAAGAUAGUACCACAAUAGGCAGCGACUGCUAACUCUGUGCCAGCAGCCGCGGUAAUACAGAGGUCGCAAGCGUUGUUCGGAAUUACUGGGUGUAAAGGGUGCGUAGGCUGUUUCGUAAGUCGGAUGUGAACGGCGCGGGCUCAACCCGCGGCCGGCACAUGAUACUGCGAGACUAGAGUAAUGGAGGGGGAACCGGAAUUCUCGGUGUAGCAGUGAAAUGCGUAGAUA
rnacentral:rRNA from 1 species